AGGGCAGUAGCUCAGUUGGUAGAGCAUCGGUCUCCAAAACCGAAGGUCGCAGGUUCGAUCCCUGUCUGCCCUGCCA
rnacentral:tRNA from 3 species